rnacentral:rRNA from 1 species
GAUUUCUGGUAGAUCGUUCUGGCCCGCAUUCCUCCCGGUUUGUGAGCGCUGGCGCGGUCUUCCAUCCUUCUAGAAAGCCAUGCCUACUCUUUACUGAGCUGGGUAUGCGCGUUCUAGAUCGUUUACUUUGAAAAAAUUAGAGUGUUUAAAGCAGGCUUACGCUGUGAAUACAUUAGCAUGGAAUAAUAAUUUAGGACUUCGGUUCUAUUUUGUUGGUUUCUAGGACUGAAGUAAUGAUUGAUAGGGACAGUUGGGGGUGCUAGUAUUCCGCGGCCAGAGGUGAAAUUCUUGGAUUCGCGGAAGACUAACUACUGCGAAAGCAUU